rnacentral:tRNA from 1 species
CCUGGUGGCUCAGAGGUUAAAGCAUCUGCCUGGAAUGCAGGAGACCUGGGUUUGAUCCCUGAGUCAGGA